UACGUAGGUGGCAAACGUUGUCCGGAUUCACUGGGCGUAAAGCGCGCGCAGGCGGAUUGGUCAGUCUGGGGUGAAAUCUCUCGGCUCAACUGAGAGAGGUCCCUGGAUACUGCCAGUCUUGAGGGGCUCAGAGGAGAGUGGAAUUCCGCGUGUAGUGGUGGAAUGCGUAGAUACGCGGAGGAACACCGAUGGCGAAGGCAAUCCCCUGGGCCUGCACUGACGCUCAUGCACGAAAGCGUGGGGAGCAAACAGG
rnacentral:rRNA from 1 species